GACGAACGCUGGCGGCGUGCUUAACACAUGCAAGUCGAACGGAAAGGCCCUGCUUUUGUGGGGUGCUCGAGUGGCGAACGGGUGAGUAACACGUGAGUAACCUGCCCUUGACUUUGGGAUAACUUCAGGAAACUGGGGCUACUACCGGAUAGGAGCUCCUGCUGCAUGGUGGGGGUUGGAACGUUUCGGCGGUUGGGGAUGGACUCGCGGCUUAUCAGCUUGUUGGUGGGGUAGUGGCUUACCAAGGCUUUGACGGGUAGCCGGCCUGAGAGGGUGACCGGCCACAUUGGGACUGAGAUACGGCGCAGACGCCUACGGGAGGCAGCAGGGGGGAAUAUGGCACAAUGAGCGGAAGUCUGAUGCAGCAACGCCGCGUGCGGGAUGACGGCCUGCGGGUUGUAAACCGCUGUCGCCUGUGACGAAGCGUGAGUGACGGUAAUGGGUAAAGAAGCACCGGCUAACUACGUG
rnacentral:rRNA from 1 species